UUUCUUCUGAGCGCACAGAAGACCACCCUGCCUAGCUUCUUUGCAGCUAUGUGGAGACACAUGAUUAGUCUGGCCAAUGGGAUGUGAGAAGAGAUAAUGAAACUCAGAGGAGAACUUGUGAGAUUUAUGCAAGUUAUUUAAUCACUCCAUGCCUCAGUUUCCCCAUGUAUAAAUGAUGAUAAUAAUAUUUAUCUUAUAGGAUUGUGGUGAGGAUUUAAUUAGCUAUGAUAGGUGAGAUGCUUAGAAGGUGCUUAUAAAAGCGUAGCUAUGAUUAUUGUUUUAAAAUGAUGUUAUUAGAGAAAGAAAAAUACAUAUGCAUAACAAUUGUCAAUAGAAAGAUCACAUAACAGUGCAAAGAGGCUUACAAAAUUCUCCAGGAUGUAUAUGUAUCUACACAAACAUCAUAGAGAAGCAAAAAAAAAAAACGAACAAACAAAACAGAUGCCAAAUUAAGGGGGAGCCUGGAGGUAAGCCCACUUUUCUGGCAUUUGGAGAUUCUGUCUUGAAUGACCCUCCACUUCUGGAUGGCUGGCCCCUCCUAGUGUGCUCCAGCCAGAUCCAUAUACAUCCUAAAACAAGUGUGUUUUGCUCCCAAGUCACAUUGCAUAUUCCAGCAGAAAAGCAGCUCUAUUUAUUCUUUAGGCAAUUCUUUGGUCUCUUAUCACUUUGGAUUUCAGGCCUCUGAAGACAUACCCAUUCCUUUUCUUCUGAGCCCGCAGAAGACAACCCUGCCUAGCUUCUUUGCAGCUACGUGGAGACAUGUGACUAGUUUGGCCAAUGGGAUGUGAGAAGAGAUGAUGAAACUCGGAGGAGAACUUGUGAGAUCGCCGUGACUGCUUUUCCCCUGCCACAGUGGCUAAGAGGAUAAGGCUAUCAAGGGUGGAGCCUCUCUAGGCCUGGGUUCCUGGGUGCCUGUGUGGAGCCGAGACCCCAGGCUAACUCACAAUGAACACGCCGUGUGAGGAAGACGUAAAGCUUUAUGUAUUAAGCCACUGGAGCUUAGGGUUUAAUUUGUUACUGUGGUGUAGCCUACCCUAUUCUAACCAAUACAAGGAUCUUUGGAUGACUCUCCUCCAGGAAUUCAUAUACAAAAACAUCCUCCCUGCAUGAGAACUCCCUAUAUGGUUCCAGCAGUAUCUCUCACCUGCAAUAGUGACUAAAGUCAAGACUCUCUGCUGGCUAUUUCGUUUCUACUGAACUAGAAUAUAAAUUUGAGCAGGACAUGGACCUUUUCAAUCUUGCCUACCCUCAUAUCCCAGUAACAAGUGGCUAGCAGAGUACCUGACACAUCAUGGAUGCUCAAAAAAUAUUUCUUGACUAACUGGAUGAAUAAAUGAGUGAAUCAUCAUCAGGAUUGCUGCUCGUGAACCCCUCCUCUUGCAGCUACCUGCCUUUGAAUUUGCCCUCAGGCUUCCUAGCUAGUUUCUUCUUUAGCCUUUCUGACCCAUCGUUCCUUCCGUAGAGUUCAAGACAACACUGCUCCUCCUAUGAACCAAAAGAAAGUGCCAGCGGCUGUUGGUGACGAAGCUCUUCUUUUCUAGGCAAUAAAGCCCCCUCCAGUUGUAGCAGUUUUCUCUGGAAUGGUAAGUCCCUCAGAUCUGGGAGUUAAUUGUUACUGUGGCAGAGGCCAGGCCACCCUGACUGAUAGAAGACCUUUUGGGAGAUUCUUCUUUCCCUGGAUGAGGUUGUACCCUGUUUAUGUUGGAUAAACAACUCAAAACCAGUAGCAUAGAAUGUUAGUGCCAGAGGGGAACUGAGAGACUAACAUGUUUUCCUUUUGCAAAUGAGGAAACUGAGGCAGAGAGAAGGGAGGGAAAUUGAUUAAGGCCUUUGGCUUAUUGGUUCAUUCCUUUGAUCGCUGUGAUGGAUGUUUCCCUGUCUUUUUAACCCCCCUGGCUUGUGUACCCUGUUCCAAGGAAUUCUCCAACUCAUGACUCUCCAACUUAUGAUGGGAAACAGAGCCCACCUCCCACUCAAGAAAAAAACAAUGCUUGCAGCACUAUUCUCAAUUGCAAAGACAUGGAAUCAACCCAAAUGCCCAUCAGUGAUAGACUGGAUAAAGAAAAUGUGGUACAUAUACACCAUGGAAUAAUAUGCAGUCAUAAAAAGGAGGAAUGGGAUCACGUCCUUUACAGGGACAUGGAUGAAGCUGGAAGCCAUUAUCCUCAGCAAACUAAUGCAGGAACAGAAAACCAAACAUCACACGUUCUCACUUAUAAGUCGGAGCUGAACAAUGAGAACACAUGGACACAGGGAGGAGAUCAACACACUCUGGGGUCUGUUGGGGGACGGGAAGAAAGCAUCAGGAAAGAUAGCUAAUGCAUGCUAUGCUUAUUACCUAGGUGAUGGGUUGAUAGGUGCAGCAAACCACCAUGGCACACGUUUACCUAUGUAACAAACCUGUGUGUCCUGCACAUGUACCCCAGAACUUAAAAUAAAAAAAAAAAGGCAAGGCUGAGUACUCCCUUUCCCAGGCUCCCUUGCAGCUAGGAUGUGGGUGUGUGAGCAGGAGGGUGUGCAAGGCUGGCAGCUCUCCCCAACAGUCAGGGUUUGAGUUUGGGGGUGGGGCAGUGCUG
rnacentral:lncRNA from 10 species